rnacentral:tRNA from 1 species
GGGUGCGUAGUUCAGUGGUAGAACGCGUCACUUAUAAUGACGAAGUCGGAGGUCCGAUCCCUCCCGCACCCACCA